rnacentral:rRNA from 1 species
UAACACGUAGGGUGCAAGCGUUGUCCGGAAUCAUUGGGCGUAAAGAGCUCGUAGGCGGCUUAGUAAGUCGGGUGUGAAACCUCCAGGCUCAACCUGGAGACGCCACCCGAUACUGCUAUAGCUAGAGUCCAGUAGGGGAGUGCGGAAUUCCCGGUGUAGCGGUGAAAUGCGCAGAUAUCGGGAGGAACACCAGCGGCGAAGGCGGCACUCUGGGCUGGAACUGACGCUCAGGAGCGAAAGCGUGGGUAGCGAACAGG